UUAAAGUGCAAUUUUUAGUUAUGAUGUUGAGUAAAUGUCGAAAUAAGUUUGUUUAAUUUUUAGAUGAAUCUGUACUAUUUUAAGCCGCGUAUUCAAAUCUUUUCGUGAUGGCCACAGAUUGGGAGUGUAUUCCCCACUUUUAUGAAGUACACAAAAAUCCAUUACAAAGCCACAUAACUUAUGAGCAUCCAUUGAAGAUACAUGGAGUGACAGUAAUCGAAAGUAAAGGCACCAAACGUUGCUUGAAAGAUAUUCGGAGUAGCUUCAGUAGCGAUANUAGUUCACGAGCUUCAUCAAGUAUUUCAUUAUCGGCGGAGCCGCUAACUUUGUCUUUGGAUGGAACGGAUCCGCUGUCCCUAUUUGCACGACAAGAACAAGAAAAUAUGGACCCUUUAACACAGCAGAUGGAAAAAAAUGAUAGUAAAAAUUUGGACGAAGAUAAUAUAAGUUGGGGCGCAAAACGUUUGGGGAUAUUGAAUCGUUACACAACGUCAGAAAAACUGUCUAUUUCGACAAGUUUCCUUUCAGCAGCAAGCUCAGGUGGAGAAGGAAUUAAAUCUCAGACCGUAGUCGCCGACAAAGUAAAAUUUCGCCUGGAGCAGCUAGAUGACUUCGAUGAUGCUUCCAUGAGUCACAUGAUUGAUUUAACUCAACAGGAAUAUAUACAACGUAUUGAACAAUUAAAUCAAGAGUUGGUAACGUCAUGGAACGAUGAUCAACGAGUAAAAUCAUUAAAAAUUGUCAUUCAAUGUUCUAAAAUGCUUGCCAACACUUCAGUACUUAGCUUUUAUCCUAGCCAAUUUGUUCUUAUAACUGAUAUUCUUGAUAUGUUUGGAAAAUUGGUCUAUGAGCGACUUAAUAUUAAAGCAAGCAAUAUUAUAGGCGAUGGAGAUAACAGGAAAUUGAAUGAAGCCGAGCCAUUGUAUGAAAACGCUAGAGAAACUUGUCAAAAUUGGUUUUUUAAAAUUGCUUCUAUUCGGGAACUGUUACCCCGUUUAUAUUUGGAAAUGGCUAUACUCAAAUGUUAUGAGUUUAUAUCACCUAAAGAAUUCGAUAAAAAUUUACUUCGUAUUACUAAAAUGAUCCGUGGUAUUGGUGACCCUUUAAUUCAGACAUAUGCACGGUGCUACUUGGUUCGUAUUAGUCUAAAUGUUACGACUAAUAAAGAAUCUAUAAAAGAAAAUUUUAAGGAUUUCUUAAAAAUCUACAACACGAUUUUUAGCGGAGCUGUUCGUUCUGAACUGAAUCGCCAGCGUGUCAACCAUGAAACAUAUUUAUCAUUGUACAGUCCGGCUUUGGAUUUCAUGUUAUUAGCACUUGUUCACAAAAACAGUAUUUACACAGAAGAAAUAAUGAACGAAUGCAAAGGAACAAAAAAUAAUGGACUACUGUUUAUUUCUAUGCUGAAUGUAUUCCAACCAAAGUUCAUUGCUUCAAACGCAUUGGAAUUCGUUAAGUUACUUGCAAGCUCUAACACAGAAGGCAUUUCGAAAGGACACUUAUUCCGCGCCCUUGGCAUUAGUGUCAGCAACUACCCACCACUUCCAGAGCAAAGGUUACAACUUUUAAAUGGUUCUUUUAAUACCAUAGAUACUUUCACCGAUGCAAUUGAAUAUAUAAACUGUAUAGAAACAUGGACACAAUUUAUUGCAAAAAAUUUCUCUAUAACUGUUAUCAAUGAUCUGUUGGGAACAAUAGCCUUACGAGUGAACGCAAGCCGAACAUAUGAAAGAUUUUAUACUCAGUUGCAAAAUAUUUUAGACAAAAUUUUGCAGCAUUUUGAAAAUACGGAGUUGUUGCUCAUUCAGGAAAACUUUUUACCAUACUUAGAUCUUUUUAAGAAAGAUUCAAAUAGGAUAGUCGUAUGUAAAAACAUUCUGAUAAGGUACCACCAAAAAUCCGAAGAUAAUAUCUCGGAUGAAAUUGUGAUCAAUGCGAUAAUGUUUAUUGGAAAGAUUCUCAGUAACUCUGUAACCGCUCAAUCCGUAGAAGAUGAACGCCGACAAAUCUCGCACUUGAUAAGUAGUUUCAUACGUAAAGUUACUUACACAAAAGAUUUUGAACGACAGCUUAGUUUUUAUGUGGACGCUCGUGAAGCUUUCACAGAUUUGGACGCAGUCUAUAUAACAUUGGUAAAUUCUGUAAAUAAGUUAGCCGUUGGGAUACGACAUGUGAUUAAAGGAAAUUAUACUCAAAAAACUGGAGCGUUUGUAAAAGCAUGCAUAGCAUUCUGUUUUAUUUCAAUCCCCAGUAUUACAGCAAUUCAAAAUCAAAUGGACCUAUACUUACUAACCGGUCAGGUGGCGCUAUUGAAUCAAUGUUUAGGACAGGCGGAUGCGUGUUUCGAAGCCGCCCUUCAAUUAGUGAGUAACUUACCACGAUCCGUGGAAACGGAAGGCAAAUCACUGGAUCUGGAGACGUAUUUGGUAUCUUACCUUUGCAACAUGUUAGCAACAUUAGUGGUAGUACCUUCGAAUAUUUGGUUUUCAUUUUAUUAUAGGAUAGUCCCGAUCAAGGGGUGCUAUAUCUACUCCGUCUACUACUUUCAGUCGUCACUAAAUUCCCCUUCGAUGCUCAGAGCUCUGGACUGGUCAUCGUUUAUUUGCAAGCUCUAGAUAUGUUGUACAUACAAAGUUUGGAAGAAUUUCCUUAUCACAUUCCCGGCGUUGUUUCAAAUGAUGAACUUUAUGGCCAUGAUCAGAAAUAUCUAACAGAAGUCAAUAAUAUAUGCAGUCAAGUCAUUGAUGACAUCUU
rnacentral:misc_RNA from 1 species